GUGGGGAAUAUUGGACAAUGGGCGCAAGCCUGAUCCAGCCAUGCCGCGUGAGUGAUGAAGGCCUUAGGGUUGUAAAGCUCUUUCAGUGGGGACGAUAAUGACGGUACCCACAGAAGAAGCCCCGGCUAACUUCGUGCCAGCAGCCGCGGUAAUACGAAGGGGGCUAGCGUUGUUCGGAUUUACUGGGCGUAAAGCGCACGUAGGCGGAUCGUUAAGUCGGGGGUGAAAUCCUGGAGCUCAACUCCGGAACUGCCUUUGAUACUGGCAAGCUAGAGUCCGGAAGAGGUAAGUGGAACUCCUAGUGUAGAGGUGGAAUUCGUAGAUAUUAGGAAGAACACCAGUGGCGAAGGCGGCUUACUGGUCCGGAACUGACGCUGAGGUGCGAAAGCGUGGGGAGCAAACAGGAUUAGAAACCCGGGUAGUCC
rnacentral:rRNA from 1 species